rnacentral:misc_RNA from 1 species
UAAAAUUGCAGGACAAGGAUACCUAUUUUAUUGAUAUAAGUCCAAUUCAAAUAAUCAAGCAUUCAAUUCUUACAAUACAAUGGGCAUAAUUUCCCAAAAGAAAGAAGAAAAUAUAAUAAAACUGUACAGAAUCACUAUGCUAAAUGACAUCCCUGUAUGAUUAUCCUUAAUUUUAAUGAUUCUGGAGAUACUGCUUAUGCGAUCGGCUUUUCUUUUCAUCCUAUGCUCUGAUGAUUUAUAUGAAAAACGAUGAGAUCAUAUUUCACGGAGUACUCAAAACAUGGUUGCCAGGUUCCCUCGGCCAUACUCAUGCAUUAAGCAAAACAACUUACUGAAAUCUGUAUAAAUAUAUUCUAUUCUGAAUGGUAAUCUGCAUAUGAGAUCUAAUGCCAUUAAUCACACAGCUUAAAUCAAGAAAUGCUGAUAUUACCGUCAAGUUAUUGCCUUAUUGUACGAAGCUCCCAGUUACCCUCACCGUCAAUAAGCCGUAAUUCCACAGAAUGGAAUGGUAUUAGAGCAGGACGCUGUGAGGACGUAACAACUGUGAUGUUCAUGUCAUGAGCAAGCCUAUAAAGUUGUUCCUCGACAUCAACACUCGUGGCAUUCGUACACUCAUCAAGAAUACCAAAUUUAGGCUUGUGAAAGAAUAGCCGCGCCAUACCUAAUCUCUGUUGUUCUCCAAGAGAGAG